rnacentral:rRNA from 14 species
CUGCCGGUGACAAACCGGAGGAAGGUGGGGAUGACGUCAGGUCAUCAUGGCCCUUACGGCCAGGGCUACACACGUGCUACAAUGGUGCGCACAGAGGGCUGCAAACCCGCGAGGGGGAGCCAAUCUCACAAAACGCAUCGUAGUCCGGAUCGCAGUCUGCAACUCGACUGCGUGAAGUCGGAAUCGCUAGUAAUCGCCGAUCAGCAUUUGCGGCGGUGAAUACGUUCCCGGGCCUUGUACACACCGCUCGUCA